GCUUCGUUACUGGAUGCAUCUGGGAAUGUGAAAGAUGGCGAGAAGUACGGUAAAUGGACGUCAGCUUGUGGCAAAAACUACUUGUUCACUAAGAAAUUAGGAACCUGGCAGCAGAACAUGAAUUUUUGCUGCAGUUUAGGCCUCAAACCAAUUUGGUUAAGGAAUUCAUCAGACAUGCAAUGCUUCUCCAAUUUAACGAAAUCAAACUGGGCGCUGAAUUUGAACUACUGGACGGCGGGACGCGCGAUGGGCGCCUGGGGCCGCUGGGCCUGGUGCUCCGGCUCGCAAGCCGUCCCUUUCACCGACGGAAUUAAUUGGGCCAAGGGACAGCCGGAUAAUUCAAAUCCAGAAGAUCUUUGCGUCCACAUGCAGGUUGAUCGAAAUGGCACUGGAGUUUUUUUAUCGGACAGAAACUGCAGUCACAAAUACGUGAUCGCCUGCCAGGGUGAAGUGCUACCAAAAAAUAACAACAACUGCACUAAACCGAAAUGUCCAACUGAGUGCAGAAGAAA